GACGAACGCUGGCGGCGUGCCUAAUGCAUGCAAGUCGCACGGCCACCCUUCGGGGCGGCAGUGGCGCACGGCUGAGGAACACGUGGGGAUCUGCCCGACCGUGGGGGAUAACCCGCCGAAAGGCGGGCUAAUCCCGCAUACGCGCGCAAGCGGAAAGCGGCAACGCGCGGUCGGAGGAACCUGCGGCCCAUCAGGUAGUUGGCGGGGUAACGGCCCACCAAGCCACUGACGGGUAGCUGGUCUGUGAGGACAACCAGCCAGACUGGGACUGAGACACGGCCCAGACUCCUACGGGAGGCAGCAGCAAGGAAUUUUCGGCAAUGGGCGCAAGCCUGACCGAGCAACGCCGCGUGGAGGAUGACGGCCUUCGGGUUGUAAACUCCUUUUGCGGGGGAUGAUGAUGACCGUACCCCGCGAAUCAGGCUCGGCUAACUCUGAGCCAGCCGCCGCCGUAAUAC
rnacentral:rRNA from 1 species